UGUUUGGUAGUGCGGGAGAAGGAUGCCGUGCGCCGUGUGUCAGCGUUUUAACAGUUUUAGCAUGAAGUGAACUUUUCCAGGGAUUUAGUAAUUAUCUAAAAGUCCAGAUGAACGUGUGUGCUCUACAGCUACAUGCGAAAGACACUAAGAAAAUUUAAUGACGAGGAGAGUCGACAGGCACGAUGUUCAGUUUGAAUAUGCUGUAUUUAAAAGAAUACCUGUACGGAUUCGGCGACUAUAUAGGGUUUGAAAAAUGGUCCGAGACUAUAUCAACAGUCGUGCAUCGGAAUCUGUUCAUGUUCCAAGUGGUAACUGUCCUGCUCAUUCUCUAUGCAAUUCAGAUAAUUCUAAACUAUGUUCGAGACUGGAGCAACAAGGAUUUGCCAGAGGCAAGACGUUCUGGAAAACGCUUCAGGAAAAGGGAUAAGAUGAUGUACUACGGCAGGAAAAUUAUGAGAAAGGUGAAAUCUGUAGCCUCAUCACAAGAUAUGAAAGGCCAGAGGCGCAAAAUAGCAAUAUCAAAAUUUGCCAAGCAGAUACUUUUGCAAAUGAGCAAGGAUUCAACACCCACACAACUUAAGGUGUUAGAACCUCCUGCUGAAUAUUUGGAAGAGGAUGUUACAAGCAAAACAGACAAAGGAGUCCCCCCUGAUGUUGUAUAUAUGUUGCAGAGUAUAAGAGUCUUUGGACAUUUUGAAAAGCCUGUGUUUUUGAAACUGUGCAGACGGACAGAGAUAAUUAAUGUUCCUGCUGGAUCCUUUCUUUUCAAGAUUGGAAAUCCUGAUGAAAAUGUCUAUAUUGUUCAGAGUGGAAAAUUAGUCGUUUUCACCCAAGAAGGUAAUACACCACCAGUGGAGCUAAAAAUUGUGAGGCCUGGUGAGACUGUGACAUCGUUACUCAGUUUCACAGACGUUUUAACAGGUCACACAAGCUCAUACAAGACUGUAUCAGCGAGAGCUGCAGAAGAUUCUACAGUGCUGCGUCUUCCCAUGUCGGCAUUUCAAGAUUUGUUUGAAGACUACCCCGACAUAUUUAUUAGAGUGAUGCAAGUUAUAAUGGUGCGUCUUCAGAGAGUAACAUUUACUGCUCUGCACCAGUAUCUGGGUCUGUCAUCAGAAUUGGUUAACCAGAAUUCUCAGAGGAAGGAAGCCAAAACUCCACUCGCAGUAGUGAAAAAGCAAUCAAAAAAUGUACUCCAGAAGACUUCAGAUUUUGCUCAGCAUGAGUUAUUUUUGACUAGGAAUCAGACUGAUAAUUUUAAGGCAGCUACAGAUUCUGAGUUUCACCAAUUUUCACUCAGUAAUCCACAGCCAGAUAUGCUGGAUUCAACACCAUGCUUGCCAACGGCACCAGCUUCAAGAUGUAGCCCAGAUACCUUAAUCCAGUCAGACAGUGCUAGUUAUGAUGAGGCUGCUUUAGUUGAAAUUGCAACGGCAGCAUUUGUGAAAGAGCUGGGUCUACAGGAUUCAAGUGUUCUGUCUGAUGGAAAAGUUGAAAUACGUGAAGUGUCAGCAGGAACUUACCUAAUGAAAGAAGAGAGCCAUAAGGAUGUGGCGUUGGUGUAUCUAGUCACGGGUGCCUUAGUUGUAUCACAGAAGCUGACUGAUGUUGAUGAAGAGGUCUUGAUGUUUAAAGCCCUUCCAGGAGAAAUCGUUGGAGGUCUUGCUGUACUCACUGGAGAACCAAGUUUUUUCACCAUUCGUGCAGAAACUGCAUGUAUUGUAGCACUGAUGUCAAAAACAACAUUUUAUGAGGUUAUGUGCCAUGAACCACGUGUUGUGCUCCACAUUGCCCAUACAGUUGUUAGGAGGUUAUCACCAUUUGUUCGUCAAGUAGAUUUUGGUCUGGACUGGGUCUUUGUUGAAACAGGACGUGCAGUCUACAGGCAAGGUGAUGAGUCAGACAGCACUUUUAUUGUUCUAAGUGGUCGUCUAAGAUCUGUAAUCACACACAGCAAUGGCAAAAAGGAGCAAGUUGGUGAAUAUGGCAAGGGUGACCUUAUUGGAAUUGUUGAGAUGGUGACACAUACCCCUCGAGGCACAACAGUUAUGGCUGUUCGUGAUUCUGAAUUGGCAAAACUUCCUGAAGGACUUUUCAAUGCAAUUAAACUGAAGUAUCCUGUUGUUGUAACAAGACUGAUUCAUCUGCUAGGGCACAGAAUACUGGGUUCUUGGCAGAGACCACAUGGAGGUGUACCUGUUGAUAGCCGGCCCUCUCAUGGAAAUUUUUCAACAGUUGCAAUAGUUCCAAUUUCUGAUGAUGUUCCUCUUGUGCCUUUCACAUAUGAACUGUACCAUGCAUUGCGCAGCAUAGGUCCUACUUUAAGACUGACAUCAGAUGUGAUUCGGAAUUCUCUGGGUCCAUCCAUUUUGGAUCCAAAGAAUGACUACAGGUUAACUUCUUGGUGUCUUCAGCAGGAAGACCAGCACAAAAUUACACUUUAUCAGUGUGACUUCCAGUUUACUCCAUGGACUCAACGCUGUGUACGUCAGGCUGACUGCAUUCUUAUAGUUGGUUUGGCAGAGAAGGAGCCAACAGUGGGAAAGAUUGAAAAAGAAAUAGAACGGCUGGCAGUACGGACACAGAAGGAGCUUGUUCUGCUGCAUCGUGAUCGCAGUAAAAAGCCAAAAAAUACAGUGGCGUGGUUGAACAACAGAAACUGGGUAUCGGCGCACCACCACAUUCUCUGCAAAAAACGUCUCUUUACUGAAAGGACAAAUGCUAGACUUGAGGAACUGUAUAAAAGAGUCUUGCAGACUGUUCCAGAUGCACAGUCAGACUUCUCCCGUUUGGCUCGGUGGCUUACCGGUACUUCAAUAGGCCUUGUUCUGGGAGGUGGUGGUGCACGUGGAGCUGCACAUGUAGGCAUGGUCAAAGCAAUUGAGGAAGCUGGCAUUCCAAUUGAUAUGGUUGGAGGUGUUAGCAUAGGUGCCUUCAUGGGUGCUCUGUGGUGCAUGGAGAGGGAUGUCACUACAAUGACGCAGAAAGCUCGAGACUGGUCUAAGAGACUCACCCACUGGUGGAGGCAGAUGUUGGAUCUCACCUACCCAGUAACAUCAAUGUUUACUGGUCGUGAAUUCAAUCAUACUAUACGUUCUACUUUCGGAGAUACUCACAUUGAAGAUCUCUGGGUCCCAUAUUUUACAGUCACAACUGAUAUUACGGAAAGCUGUAUGAGAGUGCAUACACAUGGUUCUUUGUGGCGCUAUAUAAGAGCAUCUAUGUCCCUCUCAGGAUACAUGCCACCAUUGUGUGAUCCCUCUGAUGGCCACCUUCUUCUUGAUGGUGGCUAUGUCAACAACUUGCCAGGUCUCCUGUGGCGAUAUGUUCGUGCAAGUAUGUCAAUAGCUGGUGUCUUACCUCCAAUGUGUGAAACAGAUGGUCAUUUACUUCUAGAUGGAUGUUAUGUAGACAAUGUCCCAGCUGAUGUUAUGAGAAAUCUUGGUGCAAAGCAUGUUUUGGCUGUUGAUGUUGGCUCACAAGAUGAUAUUGAUCUCACUAACUAUGGUGACUGCCUCUCUGGGUGGUGGUUGCUAUGGAAAAGGUGGAACCCAUUUGCUACACCGGUGAAAGUUCCUAAUUUGCCAGAUAUUCAGUCAAGACUGGCAUACGUUUCAUGUGUGAGGCAGCUAGAGGAAGUGAAGAGUAGUGACUACUGUGAAUAUAUCAGGCCACCAAUUGAUAAGUACAAGACACUGCAGUUUGGCAGCUUUGAUGAAAUAAAGGAUGUUGGAUAUCAUCAUGGUAGCACAUAUUUUGCUGGCUUAAGGAAAGCAGGCUGUUUGCCAUUCCUAAAAACAGAAACAAGCAAGGAAGAUUUUGUUGGAAGAAGUGAAACAAAAUGUGAUUUAAACCGCAUAUCUGGAUACAGUUUCACAGAUUUAGCACAGCUGGUGUGUAGAGUACCUCAGCGUAAAAGACAAACAGUAACAGAUGAUGAAUAUAUAGGAGACAAAAAAGAUGCUGAAAAAGAAAACAUCAAGGAAAGCUUUAAAAUAGUCUCCACCCAUAAUACCACGGAAAUGAGAGGGGCAGUGGAAGGUAGUGAAGAAAUGUACCAUUUGGAUACAGUGGGAUGGCAACAAUCGAGAAAGACAGACACUGAAAAAUCAUCCAGUGCCUUGGCUAAAGAUGCAAUGGACGUAGAAUAAAAAGAGUGAUCCAUUCAAAAAAUUUUUCAUGGAAACUCUCUCAACAGACAUUGAAUUUCAUAAGUAGGACUUCAUGCAGGGAUUUGAAAAAGGAUGCACCAUUUUUCUAACAUACCUCAAGGAAAGCUGCACACAGCACCAUGGGCUGUUACAAAAGAGAAGAAGAAGGUCACAGAAGAACUUUUGUGCAUCAUUCCACCUGUUCAGUAUUGUCAGAAGAAAUAAGACUCAAAGUAUUGGAGAUGAAGACAUUAGGUCACUGAUGGCAAUUACAGUACAGACAGCAAUAUCAGGGCAGAUGAAGAUCAAUUAAGUAAAAUUUCGACAAAUCUGUGUUCCACUGAAGAAGACACUCCAAUGAAAAUAUAAGUGGUCCAAAGUGGUGUGAAACAGUGCUUGAAUUUUAUAGUGUGCUGCUAUUAAUACUUGACCUUUUGUGAAGAACAGUUGUUGCAGCUACAUAUUCACUGGAAGCUGGUAGUGAACUGUGAAUUGCAGUGUCUAUUUAUUUAUUUUUUCUAUAGCUCUUCACAGUUUAGAAUGUGAUAACCUGCAAUUUGGACAGUGACGUGUAAGAAUUUUGUAAAUUUUUGUACAGUGACCUUUAUACUUAUAUUUGUACUAUGUUAGUGAUGAAACUCCUCGCAAUAAAAUGUCUCAAGAUGCUCUGGA